rnacentral:rRNA from 1 species
UGGGGAAUUUUGGGCAAUGGCCGAAAGGCUGACCCAGCGACGCCGCGUGCGGGAGGACGCUUUUCGGAGUGUAACCGCUGUCAGAGGGGAAGAAACGUGGGACGGUGAACAGUCGUCCCGCCUGACGGUACCCUCAAAGGAAGCACCGGCUAACUCUGUGCCAGCAGCCGCGGUAAUACAGAGGGUGCAAGCGUUGUUCGGAAUCACUGGGCGUAAAGCGCGCGCAGGCGGGACUGCAAGUCGGGAGUGAAACUCCGGGGCUCAACUCCGGACCGGCUACCGAAACUGCAGACCUGGGGACCGGUAGAGGCUGGUGGAAUUCCCGGUGUAGCGGUGGAAUGCGUAGAGAUCGGGAAGAACACCCGUGGCGAAGGCGGCCAGCUGGGCCGGGUCCGACGCUGAGGCGCGAAAGCGUGGGGAGCAAACAGGAUUAGAUACCCUGGUAGUCCACGCCGUAAACGAUGGGCACUAGGGGCUGGGGGGAGCGACCCUCUCAGUCCCGUAGCUAACGCGAUAAGUG